GGGUUGUGAGGUUAAGCGACUAAGCGUACACGGUGGAUGCCCUGGCAGUCAGAGGCGAUGAAGGACGUGCUAAUCUGCGAUAAGCGUCGGUAAGGUGAUAUGAACCGUUAUAACCGGCGAUUUCCGAAUGGGGAAACCCAGUGUGAUUCGUCACACUAUCAUUAACUGAAUCCAUAGGUUAAUGAGGCGAACCGGGGGAACUGAAACAUCUAAGUACCCCGAGGAAAAGAAAUCAACCGAGAUUCCCCCAGUAGCGGCGAGCGAACGGGGAGCAGCCCAGAGCCUGAAUCAGUGUGUGUGUUAGUGGAAGCGUCUGGAAAGGCGUGCGAUACAGGGUGACAGCCCCGUACACAAAAAUGCACAUACUGUGAGCUCGAUGAGUAGGGCGGGACACGUGGUAUCCUGUCUGAAUAUGGGGGGACCAUCCUCCAAGGCUAAAUACUCCUGACUGACCGAUAGUGAACCAGUACCGUGAGGGAAAGGCGAAAAGAACCCCGGCGAGGGGAGUGAAAAAGAACCUGAAACCGUGUACGUACAAGCAGUGGGAGCACGCUUAGGCGUGUGACUGCGUACCUUUUGUAUAAUGGGUCAGCGACUUAUAUUCUGUAGCAAGGUUAACCGAAUAGGGGAGCCGAAGGGAAACCGAGUCUUAACUGGGCGUUAAGUUGCAGGGUAUAGACCCGAAACCCGGUGAUCUAGCCAUGGGCAGGUUGAAGGUUGGGUAACACUAACUGGAGGACCGAACCGACUAAUGUUGAAAAAUUAGCGGAUGACUUGUGGCUGGGGGUGAAAGGCCAAUCAAACCGGGAGAUAGCUGGUUCUCCCCGAAAGCUAUUUAGGUAGCGCCUCGUGAAUUCAUCUCCGGGGGUAGAGCACUGUUUCGGCAAGGGGGUCAUCCCGACUUACCAACCCGAUGCAAACUGCGAAUACCGGAGAAUGUUAUCACGGGAGACACACGGCGGGUGCUAACGUCCGUCGUGAAGAGGGAAACAACCCAGACCGCCAGCUAAGGUCCCAAAGUCAUGGUUAAGUGGGAAACGAUGUGGGAAGGCCCAGACAGCCAGGAUGUUGGCUUAGAAGCAGCCAUCAUUUAAAGAAAGCGUAAUAGCUCACUGGUCGAGUCGGCCUGCGCGGAAGAUGUAACGGGGCUAAACCAUGCACCGAAGCUGCGGCAGCGACGCUUAUGCGUUGUUGGGUAGGGGAGCGUUCUGUAAGCCUGUGAAGGUGUACUGUGAGGUAUGCUGGAGGUAUCAGAAGUGCGAAUGCUGACAUAAGUAACGAUAAAGCGGGUGAAAAGCCCGCUCGCCGGAAGACCAAGGGUUCCUGUCCAACGUUAAUCGGGGCAGGGUGAGUCGACCCCUAAGGCGAGGCCGAAAGGCGUAGUCGAUGGGAAACAGGUUAAUAUUCCUGUACUUGGUGUUACUGCGAAGGGGGGACGGAGAAGGCUAUGUUGGCCGGGCGACGGUUGUCCCGGUUUAAGCGUGUAGGCUGGUUUUCCAGGCAAAUCCGGAAAAUCAAGGCCGAGGCGUGAUGACGAGGCACUACGGUGCUGAAGCAACAAAUGCCCUGCUUCCAGGAAAAGCCUCUAAGCAUCAGGUAACAUCAAAUCGUACCCCAAACCGACACAGGUGGUCAGGUAGAGAAUACCAAGGCGCUUGAGAGAACUCGGGUGAAGGAACUAGGCAAAAUGGUGCCGUAACUUCGGGAGAAGGCACGCUGAUACGUAGGUGAAGCGACUUGCUCGUGGAGCUGAAAUCAGUCGAAGAUACCAGCUGGCUGCAACUGUUUAUUAAAAACACAGCACUGUGCAAACACGAAAGUGGACGUAUACGGUGUGACGCCUGCCCGGUGCCGGAAGGUUAAUUGAUGGGGUUAGCGCAAGCGAAGCUCUUGAUCGAAGCCCCGGUAAACGGCGGCCGUAACUAUAACGGUCCUAAGGUAGCGAAAUUCCUUGUCGGGUAAGUUCCGACCUGCACGAAUGGCGUAAUGAUGGCCAGGCUGUCUCCACCCGAGACUCAGUGAAAUUGAACUCGCUGUGAAGAUGCAGUGUACCCGCGGCAAGACGGAAAGACCCCGUGAACCUUUACUAUAGCUUGACACUGAACAUUGAGCCUUGAUGUGUAGGAUAGGUGGGAGGCUUUGAAGUGUGGACGCCAGUCUGCAUGGAGCCGACCUUGAAAUACCACCCUUUAAUGUUU
rnacentral:rRNA from 1 species